UCCCCUCCUAGCACAGAGUUCUGCUGGUGGGGCUGCAGCUGCUAAAACCAGCCCUGGGUCUAACUGUGACACAGAGCAGGCUUGUGCCUAAAGCGCCUGAGCAGCUUUGUGCUUUGAACUGCACCGAGACCAUGGGAGUUCCAUGCAUAAAAUGGAUGGAGCAUUAGGCUCCUUACCAAGGAGUACACAGAGAAGCAAAAAAGAAAAGGAUGCCUACCUGCUGAAAUCUAAAGAGACAGCCUGGACCUAAUGAACUUGGAAUAGAAAACUGAACUACACCUCUGCUCCGAUACAACACGACCCAAUAUAACAUGCUGCAAAUGUUUCAACGCUCCCCGUAUCAUCUCCGUCCCAGAGGCCAGCAAAGAUUAGAAGGCGAAAAAAAGUGCACUCGUGACGAAA